rnacentral:rRNA from 1 species
GACUUGAGGUCAGACGGAGGGGGUCUGUAUAGAAAAAUUUUUGUUUUUUGUUUCCCCGCCCGCGCCCCCUUUUUUAAACAAUGCCUUAUUUUUGAAGGCAAGCCCGCGCGGCCUGCCGAAAACAAUAAUGUCUCUUCUUUAUUAUCUAGAAAUUAACCUAUGGGUGAAGAGGCCUAUAUUAUAUUGAAGGACAAGAAGACCCUGUCGAGCUUUAGAGUAAAGCAGGAAUAUAAGUAUUAAAAAAAAUCAAUGACUACAUAACUCUUUAGUUGGGGCGACUAAGGAACAAAUAAAGCUUCUUUUAGUUUUUUAGAUCAAUAAAUUUAGAUCCAGCAAAGCUGAUUAAAAGAAUUAGUUACCGCAGGGAUAACAGCAUAAUCUCUCUUGAGAGACCUAAUCGAAAGAGGGGGUUGUGACCUCGAUGUUGGACUAAAAUAUCCUGAAGAUGCAGACGUCUUCGAAGGUUGGUCUGUUCGACCAUUAAAAUUUUACGUGAUCUGAGUUCAGACCGGACCCCCCCGCUUGAA